rnacentral:lncRNA from 1 species
CUCUCUGGGCAGUGAGCACCUGUGAUUCCAGGGCACAGUGAUGUUUGAGGAGGUGGCCAUGUACCUCACACAGGAGGAGGGGCAGCACCUGGGACCCCCUCAGAGAGCACUCUACCAGGAUGUGAUGCUCGAGAACCACUGCACCCUACCAGCUCUGGAUAAGCAUCACAUGAAAAGAAAAUUCAUGGUGGAGAAAAACCCUGUGUGUGUAGUGAAUGUGGUAAGGGCUUUAGGGAGACAUCAAAGCUUGUUAAACAUCAGAGAAUUCAUACUGGAGAAAAGCCCUAUAGGUGGGAUGAAUGUGACAAAGCCUUUAGUGGGAAUUCAAACCUUAUUAAACACCAACUGAUACAUACUGGAGAGAAGCCCUAUAAAUGUAUUGAGUGCGGGAAAGCCUUUAAUCCGAAAGCAAAUCCCAUGCAAUAUCAGAGAAUUCAUACAGGAGAGAAACUUUUUGAAUCUCAUUAUAUAAUGUCAGAGAGUUCCUGUUGGAGAGAACCCCUAUGGAUGUAAUGAAUGUUGAA